CUCCUGAUUCCUUCUUCCCAUUUCUCUCUCUCUCGAUAUACGCCUAUAUACAUGCGGCAGAGAGGCAGAGCGAACAACCGAAGAUCCAGGAGCUUUUCGAGAUCACGCAUUGCAGUUGAGGGAUCUUAGUCCCCAUCUUCUUCUUCUCCUCCUCAUUUCACUCACUCUCGUUUGAGUUUGGAUUCCAAUUCUCAGCUUUCUCGAUCACCGUCAACAAUGGCUGCUUCUGCUAAUGGUGAAGAACGGGAGGUGCAGAAGAACUACUGGGUGGAGCACUCCGCCGAUUUGACGGUUGAGGCCAUGAUGCUCGACUCCAAGGCCUCUGAUCUCGACAAGGAAGAACGACCUGAGGUGCUUUCUAUGCUCCCUCCCUAUGAGGGUCAAUCGAUUGUAGAACUCGGAGCUGGGAUAGGUCGUUUCACUGGAGAAUUAGCUGAAAAGGCCGGUCAGCUUGUCGCAUUAGACUUCAUUGACAGUGUGAUAAAGAAGAAUGAGAGCAUUAAUGGACACCAUAAGAACGUCAAGUUCAUGUGCGCUGAUGUGACAUCGCCUGAUCUGAAGAUUUCUGAAGGAUCAGUGGAUUUGAUAUUCUCAAAUUGGCUUCUUAUGUAUCUGUCAGAUAAGGAGGUAGAGAAGUUGGUGGAAAGGAUGAUGGGAUGGUUGAAGGUCGGCGGAUACAUCUUUUUCCGAGAGUCUUGUUUCCACCAAUCUGGAGACUCUAAACGAAAAUCCAACCCAACCCAUUACAGGGAACCCAGAUUUUAUACCAAGGUUUUCAAAGAAUGCCACAUGCCUGAUGAUUCAGGGAAUUUCUUUGAACUCUCUCUUGUUAGUUGCAAAUGUAUUGGAGCUUAUGUUCGGAACAAAAAGAAUCAAAAUCAGAUCUGCUGGUUAUGGCAGAAAGUCCCUUCAGAAAAUGAUAGAGGGUUCCAGCAGUUCUUGGAUAAUGUUCAGUACAAAAAUAAUGGCAUACUACGAUAUGAGCGUGUCUUUGGGCGAGGUUUCGUGAGCACAGGAGGGAUCGAGACUACGAAAGAAUUUGUGGCAAAGUUGGAUCUGAAGCCUGGCCAGAAAGUUCUUGAUGUAGGCUGUGGCAUCGGGGGAGGUGACUUCUAUAUGGCCUCAAACUUUGAUGUUGAGGUUAUUGGCAUUGACCUCUCUGUGAAUAUGAUUUCUUUUGCUCUCGAACAAUCCAUUGGACUCAAAUGCGCUGUCGAGUUUGAAGUUGCUGAUUGCACAAAAAAGACUUAUCCUGACAAUACCUUUGAUGUGAUAUACAGCCGCGACACCAUUUUACACAUUCAAGACAAGCCUGCAUUAUUCCGAUCCUUCUACGAGUGGUUGAAGCCAGGCGGUAAAGUUCUCAUCAGUGAUUACUGUAGGUGUGUUGGAACUCCAUCUGAAAACUUUGCUGAGUAUAUUAAGCAAAGGGGAUACGAUCUCCAUGAUGUAAAAGCUUAUGGUCAGAUGCUCAAGGACGCUGGUUUUGAUGAGGUCAUUGCUGAGGAUCGUACUGAUCAGUUCAAAGCAGUUCUGGAGCGGGAACUGGAUGCCGUUGAGAAGGAUAAGGAUUCAUUCGUCCAGGACUUUUCUCAGGAGGAUUAUGAUGACAUCAUCGGUGGAUGGAAGGCAAAACUGAUCAGGGUUGAUUCCGGCGAGCAGAAGUGGGGCCUGUUCAUUGCCAAGAAGAAUUGAUCCUUCUGAUAAUCUUCAUAUCCCGUGUUUUAUUAUUAGACUUAUGUAUUUUAAACGACGUUGCUCGUGAUUUAAUAUUUCUAGUUGCUAGUCUGUAGAACGAUCCUAUUUCAACUCAAUAAAGUUGUAGUGUGAUGUCUUUGGACUUUAGCCGCUAUGCAACGGAAUUGGAGUUGUAUUUCUUCAGUUGUUAUGAUCUCACAACAACCGGUGAAGUAGAGACCGUUUUGUAAUUUAUGCUCGACUGGAACUCGUUGGAGAUCACCUUUCUCUUUACCAUCUUCUGUAAAUUCUUUCGGGGGUGAGGACCUAAAAAUCUGCACCAGUAAGUCACGACAUGAGUACUAAUAUGAAACAAUAGUAGUGUGAAGCAAGGAACCCUACCUCAAUCCGUAAGCAUAAUCCAGUUGAAAAUGCACCGGUAUAAAUUGCAGGUAUCCAUUGAAAUGCAACAAUCCAGUCCCAUAGCUCUGUCCAUGUCCAUGGUGAUUGGUUGGAAUAGUCGGUACCAUCCAACAACCCUCCGAUGAAAACCCAAAUUUUGGAUAAGAGAGCAACGACACAAACAUCAUAUCCAAGAAUUGCAAAGAAGUUUUCUUUCUUUGUGCUUCCAGAAAUAUGUUCAGUUCGAAGCAUAU